rnacentral:rRNA from 1 species
GUCGAGCGGACCGAUGGGAGCUUGCUCCCUGAUAUUAGCGGCGGACGGGUGAGUAACACGUGGGCAACCUGCCCGGCAGAUGGGGAUAACUCCGGGAAACCGGGGCUAAUACCGAAUGGUUGUUUCCUCCGCAUGGAGGAACUCUGAAAGACGGUUUCGGCUGUCACUGCCGGAUGGGCCCGCGGCGCAUUAGCUUGUUGGUGGGGUAACGGCCUACCAAGGCGACGAUGCGUAGCCGACCUGAGAGGGUGAUCGGCCACACUGGGACUGAGACACGGCCCAGACUCCUACGGGAGGCAGCAGUAGGGAAUCUUCCACAAUGGACGAAAGUCUGAUGGAGCAACGCCGCGUGAGCGAAGAAGGUUUUCGGAUCGUAAAGCUCUGUUGUGAGGGAAGAACAAGUACCGGACUAACUGCGCGUACCUUGACCGUACCUCAUCAGAAAGCCACCGCUAACUACGUGCCAACAACCGCGGUAAUACGUAAGUGGCAAGCGUUGUCCGGAAUUAUUGGGCGUAAA